GCGAGUGAAGCGGCAACAGCCCAGAUUUGAAAUCUGAUUCUUUGACCGGAAUCCGAAUUGUAAUCUGUAGAGGAUGUCGCUGAGUGACGGCCGUUUCCAAGUUCCCUGGAAUGGGGCGCCAUAGAGGGUGAGAGCCCCGUGGGAGGCGGCUGUACAUUCAGGAUGCGGCUCCUUCGGCGAGUCGAGUAGUUUGGGAAUGCUGCUCUAAAAGGGAGGUAAAUUCCUUCUAAGGCUAAAUAUCGGCCGGAGACCGAUAGCGCACAAGUAGAGUGAUCGAAAGAUGAAAAGCACUUUGAAAAGAGGGUUAAACAGCACGUGAAAUUGUUGAAAGGGAAGCGCCCGCGACCAGACUUGUAUUCCGACUGACCGCUGUACGCUCGUCGUACAGCCUCUCGGUCGUGCCUACAGGCCAGCAUCGGUUUGCGCUGGGGGAUAAGAACAGUUGGGAAUGUGGCUCUUCUUCGGGGGAGUGUUAUAGCCCGGUGUACAGUACCCUGGUGCAGAUCGAGGACCGCGCUUCGGCACGGAUGCUGGCGUAAUGGUCGCUGACGACCCGUCUUGAAACACGGACCAAGGAGUCGAGGUUCUCCGCGAGUGUGCGGGUGGAAAACCCGCCCGCGAAAUGAAAGUGAACGUAGGUGACAGCUAUCGAAGCGCAUCACCGACCGAUCCCGAAGUUCUCGGAGGGAAUCGAGUAUGAGCGGGGAGCCUCGGACCCGAAAGAUGACGAACUAUGCCUGCAUAGGAUGAAGCCAGAGGAAACUCUGGUGGAGGUUCGCAGCGGUUCUGACGUGCAAAUCGAUCGUCAAAUGUGGGCAUGGGG
rnacentral:rRNA from 1 species